AACGUCCUUUGGCUCCUCUUCGCUGGAAUCCACAUACAUGUACAUUUUUUUUCUACUUUGUUGUUGUUAGUCAUGAUGAUCUUUAUUGUUCUGUUUUUGUUUUUUUUUUUCCACCCCAAAAGCACUUACUGUGUGUUAUACUUUAUAUAUCCUGUCGACCGAUGCAGAACACAUGCUUGAAGUGUACUUAUGGGCUCUAUGCACAUUUGCUUUGCUUAGACUAGAUGUGAUCAAGCGUCAUGAUGUUAUUCCAUCUUGUGUUAUAUAAUUAAAGCGACCUAGCCCCCAAUGUGUACCAGAUAAUGUAGUGUGGUACACAUUAAGAAAUGAUUACAGAGUUAAAAAAAAAAAAUCUGAGUUAUCUAUUAGACUAGCUCUGUAAAGUAGCGUUAUUGUAAACACAUUGCGGUAUUGCACAUGCACUUCGUGUACUGGACCCGUCCAGUAUUGACUGUCUUCUUCUUGGGAUGUCCCUCGCUAGUCGACAAUCACAAGAUUGUUCUCAACCUAACUCGGCGUAUUAUUUACAAAGAUCACAUGAAGUGCCAAACCUCUCCCAUUGCUCUAAUGCAUGCAAUUUAUGACACUAAUGGUUGUUCUCCGCCUUGAAAAAAAACAAAUGGUAUGUCUUCAUCGCUCUUCUAUUUAUGUCCGUCUUAUGUUGGCGGUUCUGCUGCUAGGGCUAAUUUGAACGGUGGGGGGAGGAUGUCACGUUAAUGCUCACGAACUGACACCGUGAAGAUGAUGAUGAUGAUGAUGAGCCCAAAUGUUGACUGCACUUCCUGUUUGAUGCUCGUGCGCAGGUCCGUCUAUACUGUUCUAUGUGUAAAGCUAUCAAUGAAAAAAAAUCUAUCCCUUUAUUUAUUGUACUGCACCUUGUGUUGAUUUACUUUGUUCAAGAAUUACAAAUGACAAUAAAAUGUCUGAAUUAAAUGUGUGUGCCUGUUGUCAUAUUCAAUGGCUUUACUCGUUAUCCAUCCACAGGGUGAUUGUGAAUGGAACCGAGUGUGAUCCAA